UGGGCGGCGUGCUUAACACAUGCAAGUCGAACGAUGAAGCCCUUCGGGGUGGAUUAGUGGCGAACGGGUGAGUAACACGUGGGCAAUCUGCCCUUCACUCUGGGACAAGCCCUGGAAACGGGGUCUAAUACCGGAUAACACUCUGUCCCGCAUGGGACGGGGUUAAAAGCUCCGGCGGUGAAGGAUGAGCCCGCGGCCUAUCAGCUUGUUGGUGGGGUGAUGGCCUACCAAGGCGACGACGGGUAGCCGGCCUGAGAGGGCGACCGGCCACACUGGGACUGAGACACGGCCCAGACUCCUACGGGAGGCAGCAGUGGGGAAUAUUGCACAAUGGGCGAAAGCCUGAUGCAGCGACGCCGCGUGAGGGAUGACGGCCUUCGGGUUGUAAACCUCUUUCAGCAGGGAAGAAGCGAAAGUGACGGUACCUGCAGAAGAAGCGCCGGCUAACUACGUGCCAGCAGCCGCGGUAAUACGUAGGGCGCAAGCGUUGUCCGGAAUUAUUGGGCGUAAAGAGCUCGUAGGCGGCUUGUCACGUCGGAUGUGAAAGCCCGGGGCUUAACCCCGGGUCUGCAUUCGAUACGGGCUAGCUAGAGUGUGGUAGGGGAGAUCGGAAUUCCUGGUGUAGCGGUGAAAUGCGCAGAUAUCAGGAGGAACACCGGUGGCGAAGGCGGAUCUCUGGGCCAUUACUGACGCUGAGGAGCGAAAGCGUGGGGAGCGAACAGGAUUAGAUACCCUGGUAGUCCACGCCGUAAACGUUGGGAACUAGGUGUUGGCGACAUUCCACGUCGUCGGUGCCGCAGCUA
rnacentral:rRNA from 1 species